rnacentral:rRNA from 1 species
CCUACGGGAGGCUGCAGUGAGGAAUAUUGGUCAAUGGCCGGAAGGCUGAACCAGCCAAGCCGCGUGAAGGACGAAGGUGCCAAGCAUUGUAAACUUCUUUUGUCAAGGGAUAAAAUCAGGCUCGAAAGCCUCACCGCAUGUACUUUAAGAAAAAGCAUCGGCUAACUCCGUGCCAGCAGCCGCGGUAAUACGGAGGAUGCGAGCGUUAUCCGGAUUUAUUGGGUUUAAAGGGUGCGUAGGCGGGCUGUUAAGUCAGCGGUAAAAGGCGGGGGCUCAACCCCGGCGAGCAGUUGAGACUGACUGUCUUGAGAAGUCGAGAGGUAUGCGGAAUGCGUGGUGUAGCGGUGAAAUGCUUAGAUAUUGCGCAGAACUCCGAUUGCGAAGGCAGCAUACCGGAGGGGAUCUGACGCUGAGGCACGAAAGCGUGGGUAUCGAACAGGAUUAGAUACCCUGGUAGUC